AAUAAAUAAUAUAAGAGCAUUUGGUGGAUGCCUUGGCGUUAGAAGGCGACGAAGGACGUGAUACACUGCGAUAAGCUCCGGGGAGUUGUGAAUAAACUUUGAUCCGGAGAUUUCCGAAUGGGGGAACCCACCUGAUUUAUCAGGUAUCGUAUAGUGAAUACAUAGCUAUAUGAAGCGAACUCAGUGAACUGAAAUAUCUCAUUAGCUGAAGGAAAGGACAUCAACAGAGACUCCGCUAGUAGUGACGAGCGAACGCGGACCAGGCAAGUAGCUUUUUAAAACAAACUAGAACAACAUGGAAAGGUUGGCAAUAAUGGGUGAUAGCCCCGUAUAGGUAAGGUUUUUUAAAGUUCUAGAGUAGGGCGGGACACGUGAAAUCCUGUCUGAAUAUGGGGGGACCACCCUCCAAGCCUAAGUACUCUCUAACGACCGAUAGUGAACAAG
rnacentral:rRNA from 1 species